rnacentral:lncRNA from 1 species
GCAUCAUCUACAGGAACAGAGAGUACUACAAUACUUACAACAUGGUAGUGCCUGGUUCCUGAAUCAUUUGUGGUGCACCUGCCAAAGAAAAUGUUAAAUGGAUAGAUGUGAUAACUAAUGCUCAGAGUAUAUCAAAUAUAUCCCUUCUACAGUAUACAUGACCUUCACAUUCUGUACACGAGUAUUUGCUCCAUCCAGUUACCAGAGAUAUUUAAAUUUAGAAAGAAAGUAUCCUUCAAGCUGGAGGGCAUUCAUGGAGCACCCAGAGGUGUUGGAACAUUCAGUGAGUGGCUGCAAAUAUUCCUUGGGAAGCAGUACAGGGUUUGGUGUAAGAUUAAAAUGAGUAAGCCAUCAGGUACGUGGUGUGUCAGCAUGGUGGAAAACACCUGCUCUUGUUCAGAUCAGGCAGAGGCAGUGAGCAGAGCUGAGGUGAAGGGUCUGGGAAGUUUGCUGUCUUUUCUAGCAGCAGCUGAUCCCUGUGUCAGUGGCAGCAGCAGUUUGUUGCUCGCAGGACUCUGCUUCAAUAGGCAGCUAUGUGUUUUUCCUUUCUCAGAGCCCGUCCUGCCCACAGCAGUCUUCAAAGGGUUCAGAAUCCCAGACACAAAAGCAAUUUAAUAGUGGGUCAUCCCUCACCUCCUGACACUUGCACCUCUUGAGAAACCUCAAUGUCUUCCUGAGUAAUUGCAAUACAAGUCCCUCCCAGCCAGUGGUAUUUAGAAUAAAUUAUGAUGCCUGGCCUUAUUAACUCA